AAUCUACUUCCUCUGUCCGGAAAUAAGUGUUGCUCAAACGGAUGUAUCUAUAUGUAUUUCAGUGCUAGAUACAUCCGUUUGAGCAACACUUGUUUCUGGACGGAGGGAGUACUUU
rnacentral:pre_miRNA from 1 species